rfam:Gossypium raimondii Chr06_contig_390, whole genome shotgun sequence.
GGGUGCGAUCCUACUAGUACUAAUACACCGGAUUCCAUCGGAACUCCGCAUUUAAGCGUGCUUGGGCGAGUGUAGUACUACGAUGGGUGACCUCCUAGGAAGUCCACGUGUUGCACCAU